CCUGACGCAGCGACGCCGCGUGAGGGAAGAAGGUCUUCGGAUUGUAAACCUUUGUCCCCGGUGACGAUAAUGACGGUAGCCGAGGAGGAAGCUCCGGCUAACUACGUGCCAGCAGCCGCGGUAAUACGUAGGGAGCGAGCGUUGUCCGGAUUUACUGGGUGUAAAGGGUGCGUAGGCGGCAAUGCAAGUCAGAUGUGAAAACUAUGGGCUUAACUCAUAGAUUGCAUUUGAAACUGUGUUGCUUGAGUGGAGCAGAGGCAGGCGGAAUUCCCGGUGUAGCGGUGAAAUGCGUAGAGAUCGGGAGGAACACCAGUGGCGAAGGCGGCCUGCUGGGCUUUAACUGACGCUGAGGCACGAAAGCAUGGGUAGCAAACAGGAUUAGAUACCCUGGUAGUCCAUGCCGUAAACGAUGAUUACUAGGUGUGGGGGGUCUGACCCCUUCCGUGCCGGAGUUAACACAAUAAGUAAUCCACCUGGGGAGUACGACCGCAAGGUUGAAACUCAAAGGAAUUGACGG
rnacentral:rRNA from 1 species